AAGGAGAGAGGUAAAGAGGGAGAGAAGGAGAGAGGUAAAGAGGGAGAGAAGGAGAGAGGUAAAGAGGGAGAGAAGGAGAGAGGUAAAGAGGGAGAGAAGGAGAGAGGUAAAGAGGGAGAGAAGGAGAGGGGUAUUGGGAGAGAAGGAGAGAGGUAAAGAGGGAUAGAAGGAGAGAGUUAAAGAGGGAGAGAAGGAGAGAGGUAAAGAUGGAGAGGAGAGAGGUAAAGAGGGAGAGAAGGAGAGAGGUAAAUAGGGAGAGAAGGAGAAAGGUAAAAAGGGAGAGAAGGAGAGAGUUAAAGAGGGAGAGAAGGAGAGAGGUAAAGAGGGAGAGG
ensembl:lncRNA